AAAUAAACGCCAGUUUUCAGAAAAUCAAGGCAUAUAAAAAUUAUAAGUCUCAUGAUAAAGGCCAUAGUAAAAUAGUAGAAUCUGAAUGUGUAACACACCACUUCGAGAGAUAAAUGCACAUGAAAAGGAGAUUUAUAUCUCAUGAGCCAAAAAAAGACUAAAUUUGACACCCUUGUCUCCGAAUAUCACAUACCUGCAUGAAAUAGGUCAGGUAGAGAAAGGUUAGAGGAAACAAUCGAAUUAUGAGCCAACAAAUACAGUAAACUGCAUUGCUAUAAUACCACUUGACUUGUUGUACAUCCAAAAAUUAGAAAAUUGAGAAAUAGAAAUGGGUCAGUACAUUUGGAGAGAUAUCUUGGUCUAUCUUAUUUCUUUGUAUGACACUGAUAGCAAUAUUCCUACAAUCAGAAAAUGGAGAAAUAAACAUAGGUUAAUGCUGAUAAAUUUUGCUUUCUUAGUGGGCAUGACGAUGAGCUUAACAAGUA
rnacentral:lncRNA from 1 species